UUCUGUCUUCGGGGACGAAGGCAGUGCUAAAAUAAUAUACAACGUUCAUUCGACUGAAACAUGUCUAAACUACAGUCAUUGCGUGAUAUUUUAAAUUAUCAAUUAAAGGUGGCUGCUGUUGAGAAUUUAGGAGCAGUUGAGAAAAUGGUAGCUGAGUAACUUACAGGGUCUGAGAUGAAUGGUCGGCUACUGAAACAGCUCCGGGUUACACGAGAUAAAACUAUGCCGAAUAGACUCCCUGCAGCUCUCUGUCUCUGAAGAGGAGGUUCCCCCUGAGUAGCAGGACUGUGAGUAGGAGGGGAGCCCCAGUCUGGGGCAGGAUAAACUCUUGUGGCAGAUGCAUGUAACAUAAAUGGUAGUAGCAUCUAUUGACUGACUGGGAUGUGACGAUUAUUCUUCUGCUAUGCAGAUUUUUCGUCGCUGAUCAGGAUUUGACUGAGAAUUUCUGUUUUAUAGUGUUGGAGACGUCUCCCCAGAACAUAAUCAAGCAAUCUGACGGUAUAUUUUAUUUCUGUGUGUCUGAGAUUAAGGACAGGAGGACAAACAUGGAGCAGCCACUGUCUCCUGGGGGAAAAAAACGGAUUUGUCAACAACCCCGGUAUCCAAAGGGCUGGAAGAAGAAUGGUGUUGAAUGUGUUGAUGUACAUUUGAUGCAAUAACGAAGAAGAAUGAUUUACUUUUAGGGAAAGAUUAUUCAAUAAAAACUGACUACUACACUGCCUUGGAGGAGCUGAUGGGACCCGUAACCGUUGUCGAUAACCUGACGUCUGUCUGUAGCAACUGCAAAGGUCUGCUCUCCCAGUAUCACAGCUGUAACGCAGAUGCUAUCAUCCAGAAGGCGAGGUCAGUACAGGUGCAUCAAAGCUGGGACCGAGAGACUGAAAAACAGCUUCUAUCUCAAGGCCAUCAGACUGUUAAACAGCCACCACUAACAUUGAGUGGCUGCUGCCAACACACUGACUCAACUCCAGCCACUUUAAUAAUGGGAAUUGAUGGGAAAUGAUGUAAAAUAUAUCACUAUAGCCACUUUAAACAAUGCUACCUAAUAUAAUGUU